UAGUGGACAUAGCAAAUAUGAUGAUAGUAAUGGAGAUAGAUAAACAUUUUGUGGAUGAGAAUUUUAUCUGUGAUGUGCUGAGGCAGGGAAUUCUAGACCAUUCUUUUAUGAUGACUAUAGCAAUCAUAUAUUACACUUUAUUUCCAUUUCCCAUUAGAGUUGUCAAAACUUAGUCAUAGAGUAAAUCAGCUAAAACAGUAAGUGCCAGAGCCAGGCUUUGAAGACGUGCCUUAACCUUUGGAAGAAACCCUUCAUGCUCACCAAAUGUCCAUGUGCUCUAUUUUACCCCAGAUUCAUUUGGAACUAAAUUGGAGCCUUUGGAUUGAAUUAAAAGAGGAAGUAUUGUAGUUAACUCCAAGGUGAAGAAUAAAAGAGCAAAAUGAAUUUCCCCACAUUUUCUCGGUCUUCUGCUGUAAGCCUCAAGUUAAAAUGAGUAUAUGUGAGAGCAUUUGGGGUUUGGCAUGUGCAUUCACCAAGUGUGUGAAGAAUUUAAUGACCUAUGAGACAGACCUGAUUAUGCUCACUAUGAGGUGAGAAACAUUAUAAAGAGAGAAACCUUGUCCAAUAUUUUUCCUCAUAUUCAUCAAAACAUCUGGAAGUGUUGAUACUCAAGUCAAGACUGAGCAGAGGGGAAUGCAGAAGGAAAACAUGUCUCCAAGGCAGCUGAACAAUGGACUGUAAAGAUGAGAGGUGUUCGUAGGUGUGUGGAUGUUUUAUUCAGCAGCAAAAAACAAUGAAAUCUUGAAGUU